GGAGAUGUGGCUCAGUUUGUAGAGUCCUCAUCUAGAAUGCACCAGACCCUGGGUUCGACCCCCAGCAUCUCAU
rnacentral:tRNA from 1 species